rnacentral:rRNA from 1 species
CCUACGGGAGGCAGCAGUGAGGAAUAUUGGUCAAUGGACGAGAGUCUGAACCAGCCAAGUAGCGUGAAGGAUGACUGCCCUAUGGGUUGUAAACUUCUUUUAUAUGGGAAUAAAACGUUCCACGUGUGGGAUUUUGUAUGUACCAUAUGAAUAAGGAUCGGCUAACUCCGUGCCAGCAGCCGCGGUAAUACGGAGGAUCCGAGCGUUAUCCGGAUUUAUUGGGUUUAAAGGGAGCGUAGGUGGAUUGUUAAGUCAGUUGUGAAAGUUUGCGGCUCAACCGUAAAAUUGCAGUUGAAACUGGCAGUCUUGAGUACAGUAGAGGUGGGCGGAAUUCGCGGUGUAGCGGUGAAAUGCUUAGAUAUCACGAAGAACUCCGAUUGCGAAGGCAGUUCACUGGACUGCAACUGACACUGAGGCUCGAAAGUGUGGGUAUCAAACAGGAUUAGAUACCCUAGUAGUC